UGGCGAACUCCGGUCAGCUGACACAUCCCUGCCAAUCUCUGGCAGACCCUCCCUCCCAGACCCUCCUACUUCCUGGACAGCAUCCAUGUUGGGAGGGUCUGGCAGGGAGAGUCUGCCGGAGAUUGGCAGGGAUGUGUCAGCUGACCGG